rnacentral:tRNA from 1 species
CCUUAGGUAGCUUAAGUUACUUAAAGCAUUGAAGUUUUAAUUCAAGUAAGGUUCCAAACCCCUCAGGU